ensembl:lncRNA
AUAACAUACUUAGGUUUUUAGUAUCCCACCCCCCAAAAACUGGAAUGUACAGGAGAGAGGAGCCAGGGAGGUAACAUAAACCAUCUUAUGGUGUCCUACAAAGUCUGCACUUAAUCAUCUCACAACACUCCUGGCAAUCUCCAAACAGUCAGCCUUAUCAAUCUCAAAAGGUCUUUACAAUCUACCUAAGCACAUCUAGUCUCAUGACAGUAUCCCUCUUCUCACCAACGUCUCAUGACAGUAUCCCUCGUCUCAUGACAGUAUCCCUCUUCUCACCAACGUCUCAUGACAGUAUCCCACGUCUCAUGACAGUAUCCCAUGUCUCAUGACAGUAUCCCUCUUCUCACAACAUCUGCAUGACAGUAUCCCUCGUCUCACCAUUGUCUCAUGACAGUAUCCCUCGUCUCAUGACAGUAUCCCUCGUCUCACCAUUGUCUCAUGACAGUAUCCCUCGUCUCACCAUUGUCUCAUGACAGUAUCCCUCGUCUCAUGACAUUAUCCCUCGUCUCACAAAUGUCUCAUGUCAGUAUCCCUCGUCUCACCGACGUCUGAUCUGUCUCUCCUCAGUUCUGAAGUGAAAACCAAAGCGCCUCCUUCUCUGGAUUAGGUUAUUGCCACAGAAUAACUGAGUGGAAAACAGCAGGUGAGAAAGAUGGUGAAACCAAAUGAAACACUACAGUAUAUGGAAAAUGGUACACAGGGUAUGGUAGAAUGGACGGCAGAAUUACACUAGCCUUACUGAGUCCAGCUGGUCCCUGUGAAAGCUGAAUGUCUUGAAAGGAACACAAGGACAUUACGUGAUUAUUCAAGCAAUCAAAAAAAAUCUAUAUUUUCCUCUCUUGUGAGAGGCGUCUGUCCGCCAUGUCUCAGGUAGUGUGCUGUUGCUUGUAGUCCAAUCAGAGUCCAAUAUUAUUAAAGGGUUGUGAUGUCAAUGUGAGGUCCAGAAUGUCCCAGAGUGAUGAUGAAAUGUCACAGAGAGAUGACAUCAGACCCAGCGGGAGCUGAUCUGUGAUGUUUCCCAUCACUCUGUCACUACCUUCAACGCUCUGACUAUGAACCUCAACAUCAUAGAAACCAUCAUACAACAUAAAAACAACUACAGUGGAAAUCAGUUACUUUGUAUGAAAACAUUUAUGAAACAAUACAUCUAUGUCUGUGUAUGAGGUGUGGUCCUGGGACCUGAGGACUGAGUUUAAAAGCCACAGAGAUGUUUGAAGAGAAUGAAAGAGAUAUUUCACCUAUAGCAGUCAGUAUGUGCACAUAAGUGUUGAAAGGGUCCAGCAGAAAAAGGAAGUUCUGAAUCACAUUGACAGGUGGACUUCAACAUGGUACUAUACGGUUGAAGUCUGAAGUUUACAUACACCUUAGCCAAAUACAUUUAAACUCAGUUUUUCACAAUUCCUGACAUUUAAUCCUAGUAAAAAUUCCCUGUCUUAGGUCAGUUAGGAUCACCACUUUAUUUUAAGAAUGUGAAAUGUCAGAAUAAUAGUAGAGAUAAUGAUUUAUUUCAGCUUUUAUUUCUUUCAUCACAUUCCCAGUGGGUCAGAAGUUUACAUACACUCAAUUAGUAUUUGGUAGCAUUGCCUUUAAAUUGUUUAACUUGGGUCAAACGUUUCGGGUAGUCUUCCACAAGCUUCCUACAAUAAGUUGGGUACAUUUUGGCCCAUUCCUCCUGACAGAGCUGGUGUAACUGAGUCAGGUUUGUCGGCCUCCCUGCUCACACACGUUUUUCAGUUCUG